AUUGAACGCUGGCGGCAGGCCUAACACAUGCAAGUCGAGCGAGUGGCGGACGGGUGUGUAAUGUCGGGAAAAUGGCCUGAUGGAGGGGGUUAAUUCGGGGAAACGGUAGUUAAUACCGCAUACCAGUGGAGGUGCCCAGAUGGGAUUAGCUAGUAGGUGGGGUAAAGGCUCACCUAGGCGACGAUCCCUAGCUGGUAUGAGCGGUUGACCGGCCACACUGGACCUGAGACACGGUCCAGACUCCUACGGGAGGCAGCAGUAGGGAAUAUUGCACAAUGGGCGCAAGCCUGAUGCAGCCAUGCCGCGUGUAUGAAGAAGGCCUUCGGGUUGUAAAGUACUUUCAGCGGGGAGGCGUUACCCGCAGAAGAAGCACCGGCUAACUCCGUGCCAGCAGCCGCGGUAAUAC
rnacentral:rRNA from 1 species